AAACUCUGCACUGAAAAGCACUCAGCAUCGUCUUUGGUGAACCUGCGGAGUCGGUAAUAUUAACCACUCGAUGCUUCCAUGGAAAAGGAAUGAAACAAAUCCUUGAAGAGUGGUCCAGGAAACAAUACUAUGCACAGAUUAUAUUGAGUCAGCUGCUCUGUGUCGUAUGUUUACCCACCUGCAGGAAAGCAAGGACUCUGCUACUGGACUCUGACUCCAGUUCAUCUGACGUGAAGUCAAGCUUCAACUGUAGCUCCCUGUAGCUCCCCUGUAGCAUUAUCAGCAUAUCUAUCCACAUCCAGCAUUUCAAAGUCAAGG